rnacentral:rRNA from 1 species
AUGAACAGUGGACACCCGAAUCUGGCUGAGAAAGAGGGAAGCAGUGCGUGGCGGAAGAGGCGUCCAUGUGGUGAGCGGUUUACUAAAAUUGUAGCCAGUCCAUACUACAUGCUCCCAGAGGUAUUAAAGCACAAGUGCGGCCCUGAAAUCGAUGUCUGGAUUGUAGGAGUUAUACUUUACAUACUUCUUUGUGGUGUGCAAACAUUUUUGGAAGAUUCUGAACAGGGAGUAGCACAAGCAAUUAUGUGCUCUAUGGUAGAUUUCAAAAGAGACCCAAGGCCUGGAGUAUCUGAGCCUGCUAAAGACUUUGUUCGACAGACGCUGGAUCCAGAUCCAAUCACACGGUUUACUACAACACACGUACUCGGUUUUUAA